GAAGGAAGGAAGGAAAGAAAGAAAGAAAAGAGAGAGAAAGAAAGAAGUUGACUGAGACAUGGCCCAUUCCCUCCCUGGAACCAGCUUCUUUCCAGCUCAAGGUCAGAUGUUCUCACUGUAAAUCAUCACUAC